rnacentral:rRNA from 1 species
GCCAGAGCCAUAUCUCCCUGCAUUUCUAGCCUGGUUUCCCCACUGACGCUAAGCAGGGUUGAGCCUGGCCAGUACCUGGAUAGGAGACCUCAUGGGGAACACUAAGGUUGCUGCUGGAA